rnacentral:rRNA from 1 species
AUUGAACGCUGGCGGCAUGCCUUACACAUGCCAGUCGAACGGCAGCACGGGUGCUUGCACCUGGUGGCGAGUGGCGAACGGGUGAGUAAUACAUCGGAACAUGUCCUGUAGUGGGGGAUAGCCCGGCGAAAGCCGGAUUAAUACCGCAUACGAUCUACGUAUGAAAGCGGGGGACCUUCGGGCCUCGCGCUUUAGGGUUGGCCGAUGGCUGAUUAGCUAGUUGGUGGGGUAAAGGCCUACCAAGGCGACGAUCAGUAGCUGGUCUGAGAGGACGACCAGCCACACUGGGACUGAGACACGGCCCAGACUCCUACGGGAGGCAGCAGUGGGGAAUUUUGGACAAUGGGCGAAAGCCUGAUCCAGCAAUGCCGCGUGUGUGAAGAAGGCCUUCGGGUUGUAAAGCACUUUUGUCAGGAAAGAAAUACUUGGCACUAAUACGGUCGGGGGAUGACGGUACCGGAAGAAUAAGCACCGGCUAACUACGUG